rnacentral:rRNA from 1 species
AUGAAUGUGAAGGAGGUACGCAGUUUCUUGGGUUUGGCAGGGUACUGCCGCAAGUUUGUGAAGCAUUUUGGGAUUAUUGCUCGGCCAAUGUUCAAUUUACUCAAGAAAGGGCACCCAUUUGUCUGGACUGAUGAAACUCAGAAAGCAUUUGAACUGCUCAAACAAGGAUUGAUCUUAGCCCCAGUGCUGCAACUCCCGGAUUUCUCCAAAACCUUUGUGAUCGACACUGAUGCUUGCGAUUACAGAGUGGGUGCAGUUCUGCAACAAGGGGGUCACCCGAUCGCUUACAUGAGUAAACCUUUGGGCCCCAAGCAUCGAGGACUGUCCACCUAUGAAAAAGAAUGCCUUGCCAUUCUGAUGGCCGUGGAACAGUGGCGCCCAUACUUGCACUCCGACAAGUUCCUCAUUAGAACUGACCAACGCAGCUUGGUUCACCUGGAUGAUCAACGGUUAUCCACUGUUUGGCAACAGAAGGCUUUUACCAAACUGCUUGGGCUGCGCUACAAGAUCUGUUACAGGCAAGGGACCACUAAUAGUGCAGCUGACGCCCUAUCUCGCCGCGUGCAUCUACCAGAACAAGUAGCAGCGAUCUCGGUUUGUCAACCUACCUGGAUUGAGGACAUCCGUGCCAGCUACGACAACAAUGAGCAAGUUCGGAAGAUAUGA